UCUACUAUAUAAAUCUCUUUAGCCACUCCUCCUGACUGGAUUUGUUCUUUAUUCAUUCUACGAUGAAGGCUCUGAAUGAAGAACUCUUUCUUCCUGUUUGGAAACCACCAUGAUAUUUCACCAUCAGAAAUAGAUGAAAUGGAGCUGCACUUCACAUGGGUUGUGACCUAGAGUCUUAAAACGGUACAACUCCGAAGAGGUCAAAAGUCGACUCUGCAGCAAGCUUGAGUAAAAUGUGACAAACCAUAUGGAACAAGUCAGCUGACUGCAACAUUUACACUUGUGUGUUACAUACCUUUUUUUG